AAGAGACGUUGCCCUUCGGGGUAUACCUCCCACCCUUUGUUUAUUAUACUUUGUUGCUUUGGCGGGCCCGUCCUCGGACCACCGGCUUCUGCUGGUCAGUGCCCGCCAGAGGACCUAAAACUCUGUUUGUUAAUAUUGUCUGAGUACUAUAUAAUAGUUA
rnacentral:misc_RNA from 1 species